rnacentral:tRNA from 1 species
UGGGGCGUGGCCAAGUGGUAAGGCAACGGGUUUUGGUCCCGCUAUGCGGAGGUUCGAGUCCUUCCGUCCCAG